UAUUGAUUAUAAUUUUAAGUCUAAUCUGCCCAAUGAGUAAUUAAAUGGCUGCAGUAUUUUAACUGUACAAAGGUAGCAUAAUAAUUAGUUUCUUAAUUAGGAACUGGAAUGAAUGAUUGGACGAAAUAGUGACUGUCUUAGUUUAAAUUUUAGAAUUUUAUUUUUGAGUUAAAAAGCUUAAAUGUUUUUAAAAGACGAGAAGACCCUAUAGAAUUUUAUAUUAUUUGAAUAUUUUGUUAUUGGGAUUUUAAUAUAGAAUUUUUUAAUUAGUAUUUAGUUGGGGUGAUUGAAAAAUUUAAUAAACUUUUUUUUAUUAUUAACAUUAAUAUAUGAUUGUAUGAUCCAGUUUUUCUGAUUAUAAGAUUAAAUUACCUUAGGGAUAACAGCGUAAUUUUUUUAAAGAGUUCUAAUCGAUAAAAGAGAUUGCGACCUCGAUGUUGGAUUAAAGUUUAUUUUUAAUGCAGGAGUUAAAAUAUUAGGUCUGUUCGACCUUUAAAACUUUACAUGAUCUGAGUUUAAACCGGUGUGAGCCAGGUUGGAUUCUAUCUUUAAUUAAAUUAAAUAUUUUAGUACGAAAGGACCAAGUAUUUAUUAUAAUAGUUUUAUUAGAA
rnacentral:rRNA from 1 species